GACGAACGCUGGCGGCGUGCUUAACACAUGCAAGUCGAACGGUGAUGGGUGCUUGCACCUUGAUCAGUGGCGAACGGGUGAGUAACACGUGAGCAACCUGCCCCCGACUCUGGGAUAACCCCGGGAAACCGGAGCUAAUACUGGAUAUGAGACGUACAGGCAUCUGUCGCGUCUGGAAAGAAUUUCGGUCGGGGAUGGGCUCGCGGCCUAUCAGCUUGUUGGUGGGGUGAUGGCCUACCAAGGCGACGACGGGUAGCCGGCCUGAGAGGGCGGCCGGCCAGACUGGGACUGAGACACGGCCCAGACUCCUACGGGAGGCAGCAGUGGGGAAUAUUGCACAAUGGGCGCAAGCCUGAUGCAGCGACGCCGCGUGAGGGAUGACGGCCUUCGGGUUGUAAACCUCUUUCAGCAGGGAAGAAGCGCAAGUGACGGUACCUGCAGAAGAAGCGCCGGCUAACUACGUGCCAGCCGCCGCGGUAACAC
rnacentral:rRNA from 1 species